AAGUAACAAAGAGAGUCAGCAAAAUUACUGAAGUAAAAAUCUUGCAAGUUUCUCACAUGACAAUGUAUAGCUAUUAAAAAAAACCCCAAAACCAACAUAAUAUAUUUCCAGAAAGUUUACGCUCUUCGAAAUGGUGGACUUAAGUUUUCUUCCGAUAUUCAUUUACAAGCUGACUAAAAGCCUAUCAACACAAAUUUUAUAUAUGCCUAAUGGCUGACUGCAAUGGUUACAUGAGCAAAAUCUAGAGCCUUCUUGAAAAGUAUGUACAGAUAAGAAUUAAAAAUGAAAGAAAUCACACCCUCCAAAGUUGCCCUGGUAUACAGUAAAUGCAGUCUGCAGCUUGAGACCCUGGGUGCUCCCAGAGGAGAGGUGAAGUGGCCACUGACACAGUGGUGCCUGGCUCUCUAAGCCAUCUGUCAAAUCAUUGCUUGUUUUUCAGUCUUCCUUUCUUGUUUGUGGGGCUUUUAAAACAAAAAAUAAGCUCUUAUUCUAGGAUGAAUGUCAAAGUUUUCUUUAUCUCGAUAUACAAAUCAUAUGGCUUUAGGGAGAUUAGCGUACAGUAUUUGCUAGUAUGAAGAGGCAUUAGCAAGGCCAAAACAACUGGGCAAACCUUAUUUAAGGGGUCUAAAUUUCCAUCAGCAAAUGUGUGGGCCCAAAUUUUCAGAAAGAAAAAAAAUGCUUUCAUGACAACUUAGAAAAUACCAAAACUGCUUCAUCAGAUGCUAAAGAAGCAAAACUAAUGACCCUAUAAGAAGAACAUCACUGCGACAUCUUCACUGACUCUGCGUAAUUACACAUAAUAUAAAUAGAAUAGAAAUUAAAGGAUUCAUAACAUAGGAGGUGUUGCAUCAAGUCACUUUGAACUCAUUGGACUGGUGCUUCAAUUAGAUUUCAAUUGAAAUAAUACAUUUCAGCUAAUGAGGAUAAAAGAAGACAGGCCAGAAAAAUAAAUCCUCUCAAGUCACACAGGCAUCACCUCCCACACUUGUGUUCUGUAAGUAACUAAUAAUCACUUGUAUCUUCCUUUAUUACUGGAAAACACCUAGUACAUUUCAACUGCUUGCAAAUCUGUUGUUGAGAUUGUUUUCCAAAAUCUUCAUUUUUUUGUGUGGGUGUCUAGGGAGGUUGCAGGUUUUUUUGUUUUGCUUUGCUUUUUAAAGUAAUAGAGAAACACACUUAAAAAGUUUUGCCAAAAAUCUAAGGGGGUUUUUGGUAGGACUUUCCAUCAGAGUUAUCAUUAUUCUUUGUGGCUCGUUGGCUAAAGAUGCUUUAAGACAAAAGGAUCAUUUAUCUAAAAGUUAAAAUACCACAGCAUAAUUGUAUAUUAAAAUGUCUUCUCUGAACACCACAUGUGCCCAGCAAGACUAUGCCUGGCUUCACUAAAAUCCCUCAGCUCCAUGCUGAAUUUUUCAUCUUUCAAAUAGCAGGGAGAGAAAAUGUAUAACAAAGCAUGGUAAAAGUGAAAUUAUGAUAGUCUUACAGGCAUCUACUCUGACAGAUUUCUCCAAGGAGACACCAAAAUAUCACUGCAAGCAUGGCUGAAUUAACAGGACCAAAUAAUGGCAAUAUUUUUAUCUACUGGAAUUCUACCCUUGUCAUAAAAUGCUUUAAAGAUGAAAAUCCAGGCAUUUAGCACAGUUCUAAUUUAACACAGAACCAAGCAGUCCUAUAAGUUACUGAAUGUGAGUAGCUGUUCACUGCUUUGUAAAUGCUGUCAUUCUUAAACUCUUUUUGAAAAUUUAAUAGUCCUAUAAAUGCACAGCUAUGAACUCCAAAAUUAUUUAAUACAAUUUUUCAGCAAUAGUCAAGCAAUUUAUUCACUAUUGUUACCUGUCUACACAGAGGAAUAGAUUUCAUUGCCCUCUUCUGAGCAGUGAAGUCCUGCAGGAAUAUUGACUCACUCAUAUAUUAGUUUAUUUUUACAAUAUGACUGCUUCCACCAUUUUUGGACACAUGGAACAUAAAGCACAUAACAGAUUUGAAGCCACAGGCCCUCAGAGUGGAUACACACCUCAGGGACACAAAGUUUCAUUAAUGAGAAUAUUUUUCUCUUACUAAAGAAAAUUUGCUUUAUCAGAGCAUUUCACCAAAUUUUUACUAUGAGAGAAAAAAGAAGAAAACUGAAGAUUCCAUAGGACAUUGUACAGCAAAGCCCUUCUAGCAUAUUACCAAAAAAUGAUCCUGAGUACUUUAGAACCAUAAGCAUAAUGCAGAAUUAAUACCUGCCCCCAGACUGGGACAAGUAUUUUGUUUGAUACAAAACAUGCAUUAUUAUGCAUUCUGGUAUUAGAGUAUUUUAAAAAUACAUGUUUUGACCAUAAAAAACCUUGUAGCUGUGGAGAAAUGAAAUUACUUUGAUGAAGAUACAAAUAUAUAUCUGUAUUCCUUAGCGGUCAGAAUUUGUCAUGGGCUCAGUGCAAAGAGAAGUGCAAGUUAAUUAUAGAUGUCAAUGAGAGAAGUUCCACUGUAGUCUAUCCAGACCAAAGCAUGAAGAAACUUGACAUGUGUAAGAGGAUACCGCAGACUGGAGGUCCUACACAUGCUUUGUGACAUUUCUAUCUUGUAUCUCAGGCAAUGCUAGAAUAAUUUGUACUAGCCAGCCUCUCCUAGAAAUAUCCCAGAAAUUUUCUCAAGUUUAAUUUUUUUAUAACUGGGUCUAAUGAAAACUUUGCAAAUGUCUUAUUUUAUUCUAGCACAGAACAAAACUAAAAGGAACCUAAAACCUCAGAUACAUCUGCGAAUUGCUAUCCUCUGGAAUGCUUCAAGUUGUAACAACCACUGUGUAAAAAAGCAAGUAUUUUUUACUGAUUUAUUUUUAGUCAAACUGAAACCAGGCACCCCAGGUAGUAAUUUCUGAAUGUCAAGAAGAUUGGCAUAUUUUUCAGACAAGAAAUACCAUCAGUUCUCUACAGACUGCAGCCAAAACAGAAACAGGAAAAGUAACUAAAAUUAUUUAGACACCACCAAAUCAAGUAAGACACUAAAAAAGCUGGGGAAUAUUUCUUCUGGAAAUGUUUGCUAAAUUAAGGUUUUCCUGGAUUCAUUACACUUCUACCAGCCCUUCUAUAUCAUCUCCUCUUAGUCUAUUCCUUCUUUGUCUUCCUUUUCCAAAUAUAAUCAAAUGCUUUUCAUUUUCCAAAGCCAUCCCACCUAAAUAUGAGAUGAUAUGCAUUAUAGAGUAAAAAGGAUCUACUUCUAUUUUGAAGAAAUAAAAUAACCCACAGCAAAAAAAAAAAAAAUCCACCUCCUAAAUAUAACAGUGGCUAUAACUUAUAAGAUUUCAAUGAAAAUAAAAGGGCCCUUUUCUCAAGUCCUCUCUUUCUUGCCCUUCCACUCUCCAUCACCUAAAGUUCUUUGUGCAUGGGUGUUCUCUAGGGCAACAACUUCCAUAUUCAUGGCAGAAGAGUGAGGAUUUUAAAGAGUGAGGAAAACUGCAUUUGUGCUUUUUUCAGUCUCCACAGGACGUAUGUUUUCCAGUCUUGACUUGCUCCCAGAUUCAGCCCUGUUCAAACAAUUUCUCUCCAACUCUAAAACCCACCUAAAACUAAAACAGAAUAAUAAAACCAGCAAUUGGAACCCACAAAAUAUGCUAUGCACAGAAUCAGAAUUGAUAUCCUGAAGUUUCAAAAAGAGCACUGCAACUAAAUUCACCUGCACUACUGCCUACCACACAGCAUAGGAAGAAGCGGAUUGUUUACAGAGUUGUUACUUUUGGGAGAGGCUUGUGUGCUAAUAGUCCAACAUGAACCUUCAGUCAACACUGCUUGAUUCAACUUUGACCACACAUCACCCUUUCCUGGGCUGGGUUUUAUUGCAACAUUUUGGGGUUUACCAGGAUAAAAACAAUUUUAGAGGAGUAACUAUGUAUCCCUUUCAUGAGCUGAACAGAAAAAAACCAAAAAAACCCCUAAAAACAAGUUAACCAACAGGAGUUGCCCUAUGGCAUUUGCGUCAGUAACUUUGACUGUGGAUCUGCACAAGACUCUUCUUGUUUACCAACCUCUUGGGGGCAAAGCUUCCUAACCCUACGUUACAGAAAUCACCAUUGUAGACUCUGUUCCCAGCAAGAAGUUCCAAAUGGCUCCUGAACUCAAAACAAAAUUCAACGACAAAAACUUCAACAAGUGCCUGGCUAUCACCUUCCUACACAGGGGAUUACUGGGGACUUGGACUACUACAAGCUGGACAGAAGCUCCAGUUUCUGUCCUGAUGAAGGUUCUGACAUGUCAGCAACUGUUAGUGCUCUGAAUCAGAGUGAAGGGUACUCAAUUGGUAUGAAGUAUUUCACAUGGAAAUAUUUUGUAUUUUGUUUGACAGUAUUAUCACUCCAAUGAAUAAAAAUAGCAUGAUUUAAAUGUCUUAAGUCAAAAAUGUAAUGACAUAAGAACAAAAUAAAAUGCUUUUACUUUACUAGAAAUAUCCCAUUGCACCAUAAUUUCAAAAUCAAAAGAAAAAGGUGUGUAUUUUUUGAUACUUGUCAGACAAGAAUAUAGUUGUCCCAUAACAUGUCUCACAACAUGUCUAGCAAGUAUUUACUGCUAGAACAUAAAUCAAUCUAGAAUUAAAGUCACUUCUACUGACAGCUUAGACAUACAAUCAUAGUUAAUAGUCAACUUUAACUACAAACUUAGUUAGAAGAUCCCACAGCAAAAACAAUUCAAGUAAUACAAGCUUUCUUUCCUGGCUGGGAGCUUUGCUGUACUAUUCAAGCCUAAGUGCUGAUGCCAUAAACCACAUGAGUCACUCCUCACACACUGUAUACAUAACUUGCAGAAGCAGGCCCAAUGUGGAGCUGAGCCAGAGAAUACAAGGAUCCCAUGGCACUUUACACCUUUUAAAGCAAGUAAUUCAGACAGCUUGCAAAUAGUGCUGUCCUACUCCUGGGGGAGCUGGAACACAGGUCUGCCCACAGUUUGGAGUCCUGAGGCUGGAAAACGCAAGGUAUUGGAAAAGUCUUUCAAAGAGACAAGGGAGGGAGACAGUCUAAGGUUGCUGGAUGGGUCCCAAAAUAUUUGGAAUGGUGGGUAUUUUAGCACAUGUAGAUCAAUAAUAUGACUGGCACCCAGGCAGAGUUGCCCAGGGCACACAUAUCUGUGAGAAACACCAGGAUUGAGGAAUAGGCACAUAUUGCAAGUCAAGCAAGUGCUGAGACAGAGCAAGCUGAUGUGUUAGUAAGCACCAACAAAUGCUGGCUGAACAGGGGUUCAUCUCUUUCUGGCAGCAGCUUUCACUGUGUGCGUAAAAGGCAAGCAGA